CGCCCUUCGGGGUGACCCCGGCUCCCGAGCGCCCCGGCUGGGGGGAGACGGGGCCGCCGUGAUCCGGAGCGCCAGGACCCGCUGUUCUGCAGCUCUGGGCAGAGGUUACCAGUGAGAUGGUGAAGGUGCCGGGAUGUCCCAGGCUGCACCGGCCCUCGGGUUACCUCUCCACGGCUCUGUUCUUCGCGGCGCUCUACGGCUCUGCUGCUGUCCUCAGGAGCAAAGAUUGCCAGUUCCCGGACCCCUCCGAUCACACUACCUACAGGUGCAUGUCCCCGGUGUGCAAGCUGUCUCUGGGCAGCGGCGUGUUUAAGGCUGGCUCCAUGGUGCAGCAUUUCUGCGAAGCCGGCUACGUCCUGGCCGGCCACCCUGGGGUCUCUGUCUGCAAGGGCGGCCAGUGGAGCGUGCUGAAGCCGGUCGUCUGCAAGCCCCUGGCAGGAUCCCCGGUGCCUCGCCCUGGCUCUGUCAUCGCUGUCUCCUCCAUCCCCAUGGUGGCUGCGGCCUCGGUGACGGCGUCCGCCCUGCUGCUGGUGGCCAUGGUGUGUGUACUGGUGGGGCCGAAACCCUGUAGCUACUGGUGCUGGAGGUGGUACGAGCCCAUGGAGGAGUCCGAGGAGAGCACAGUCGACAGCUGCCCGGUGCCGCUCCCAUCCUACGAGGAGGCCGUCUAUGGUUCCCAGGGGGGGCCCGUGCCGCCCGCGCCCCCCAUGCCGACACCUCUCGUCCUCUCCAGGGGCCUGGCCCCCCCAUCGGAAGCAGCUGAGCCCUGUUGGAAUCCAGAGGCCGCCACUCCGCCCCCUUCCUACCAGGAGAGCCAAGCAGCAGCUGCGGGCGGCUCCGGCCUGGCCCGGCCCACAGUGCCCCCUACCCGGUUCCUAUUCCCUGGGGCUGCAAAGGACCUGUACAGGUAGCCGGGGGGGCCGGGGGUCCCCUGGCAGGGUCUCGACACUACAGCAGGGACUCCUCAUUUGAAGCACACGCAGCCUGCUCCAUCUUUUAACUUGCUGGGGGGAGAGGACACCCUGCCCCCCCCCAGUUACUCAGCAACUUGUGAAGCUGAUGGGACCAAAGCAGCCCCCUUCGGAGGGGCAUCAGCAGCCUUCUGCCUGGAUGGGGACCCCUCCCCCCCGCAAGGUAACGGCUCUGUCUUCGGGGCAGCCCCGAGGGGCCGAUCUUUGCCAGCUGGCUGGUUAGCCGCCAGCUCAGCGUGUUCUGACCACCCUGCACUGCCAUCCCUGUGGGAUCCCAAUUUUCCCUGCCCCCUACUCCUCCCACCAGGGUGUCAGUUCCCAGCAGAGCCGUCACGGGUUAACUCAGGGUACAGCUGCCACCUUCCUCCAGCUGUGAGGAUCUGGGGGCGGUGAGGGGCAGAUUUCUCCCUCCCCCCCCGACUUCCUAAUGCUCUGGCGAACAUCCCCUGGGCUUGUUCCAUUUUUGGGGGGCUUCUCUCCCCUUGUGUGUGUUGAUUAAAAUGACCCAGGCUGCUUUAUCUCUGGGCCAUACUGAUGCCCCCCCAGGCUGCAGGUGCUGCUCUGUGGCACUGGGGCUGGCUGGCAGGGGCCGUUGCACCUGCAUCCCAGCAGGGGGUGCCGUGGGUGUGGUUUAAAUAGCUGCACCCCGCCUCCCUAGCGCUCCCGUGGGUGGGUGGCUCUUGUCUCCUUCCCACUCCCAUCACCCAGACUCCCUGGCUUGGCUACAGGGGGUGAGCUGGCACCCCUGGCAGGGGGAGCAGAGUGCAGGGGAAAGUGGGUGCAGGUUUGAAUCCCGGCUGGCCCCCGGGCCCAUCCCGCACAACAACCAUUGCGUCUGCGGGCGGGUGCUGGGCAGGGGCGAAUCUUGGGCUAUUCCUCAACAGUUGAGCCCGUGUGGCCGGAAGUGGCCAGUGGCCCAGGGGCCAGGUAGCCCCACGAA
ensembl:lncRNA